UGAUAGUGAGUGAGUGCUCACGAGAUCUGAUGGUUUUAUAAGUGUUUGGAAGUUCCUCCUUCAUUCUUCUUUCUCCUGCUGCCUUGUAAAGAAGUUGCUUGCUUCCCCUUCAGCUUCUGCCAUGAUUGUAAGUUUCCGGAGACCUCUGCAGCCAUGUGGAACUAUGUUCUGGAAGAGGAUGUCUGUAAUCCUGCCCCUGUGAGGCACUGAUGGUGAUGUGCUACACUCUGUCCCACAUCAGCCUUUUUCAACCCUAGUUGUAUUGUGUUGUGACGGGAGCACAGCUGGUCCUGAAAAGGCACAACACUCAGACAAGCAUGUGAGAUUGCAUUCGUCCCUGCUGGGGAGCCCCGAGCUUUAGAGCAUCUGCCCCAUUAGACGAUCAGGGCAAUGCGUGGAAGAAGGCUAGUGCCUUGCUGCCUGGGUGUGGUCUGUGACAUCAUCUGGGAUCUUGUAAGAAAUAUAGAACCUCAGGCCCUGCCAAAGGCUUUUUGAAUCAAACUCUGCAUUUUAGCAAGCUCUUCUGGUGAGUUGUGCACACAUCAGGAGUAUAGUCGGCAUCUGCUAUUUUUGUCGGCCCUGCAUUUCUUACUCUGGUAACUGCGUCUCCUACUCCUUCUUGAAAGAACUACUCCCUUCUCCCUACAUUCCUGUGAUUCUGAUGGGGUGGCCAAUUACAGGGCCUUAACUUUUUGGCCAUAGAGGUGGGCACAUAAUUCAGGUCUGAACAUUCAGGCUACAAUGAUUAGUUCAGGGUAGCGACAGGGGACCCAAGGGGUCAGGGAUUCUUCCCUGUGUUUCUUCACACUGGUCUCUUCCCCAGGCAUCUCUUCCCUCUGGAGUCAUGAACCUGAGAAGAGGUAAAUGUGGAAUUGUAAACAGCUAUUUUCCCAGCCAAGUGGAGAAUCCUUGUCCGCUAUAUGCGAGAGAGUAAUGCACCUAAAGAGAAAUAGAGAUAAGGCAUGGAGAUCUGGUGCCCUGUUGCUACCUGUGGUUUGAUUAUAUGAGCUCCUAAAAUGUCUUUUCUACUUAGCCUAUUUUGAGUUAGGUUUCUGACCCUUACAAAGGAAGCAAAGAUUUAAAUGACACAGAUAGAUAUCAGAAAAGGCAGGUUGCUCUGAGAAGACAAAGCUUUGCAAGUUCAAAUACUAACUUAUAACACAAGAAAACAAUGGCAAAUUCUGUCAUCUUGCAUUUUCCUCACCUCAAUUCUCCAUCCUUCUUUAUACUGUAUAUAAAACAAUUCUCAUAAGAUUUUUGAAAUGUUUAAAUAAAAAAAUUGAAUAUAGAACCCUAACAUGGUGGCUGAUAUAUAGCAAAUGUUCAGUAAAUCUUAUCUACUAUCAUUGUUUUUAUUAUUAUUAUAACUGCUACCUCACAUAGCUCAUUUGAUAAGGUACACUCUCUCUAAUCCAGGAAUCUGAAUGCUACUUUACCCUUUCGAGUCUCAAUAACUGGUUUGAGUUCUGCAAUGCAAAUUUAACUGGUUUUUUUUUUAGCCCCUGGUGGACCAAUUUUCUCAUUAAGAAGAAUAGCAGAAUUAUUCAGGCUGGAUAGGAGCUCUAGGUGCAUGGAAAGAUAAGCAUAAUUCAGUUUCCCUUCCGGAGAAAGCAGAAAGGGCCAGAGUUGGCCAUGCAAAGAAAUUUCUUUCCCAAGCUGACACUAUCUAAACUUCAAUGGCAGCCACUAUCAAGAGAGGCAAUUCCCCUUGGUUGUUCCUCUUCUAGGUCCCCUCUCUUCCUUGGUUGCACUCAUUGGCCAUGGAUAUGAACAGCAAUUUCCAGCUAUAACGUAUAGAAACUCCUCUCUUGGUGUCUUUGGCCCUUGGGACCAUUCUCAAAUAUUUUCUCUGUCUUUAUAGCUGAAAACCUUAGGGCUUUUUAAAAUUUUUUCCUUCUGAUCUGCUCACAAAGGAAUCCUUCUUACCUGUGGGUUGUCAAGCUUUUCAAAGUAACAGCUCCUUUGAGGAAAUUGUCCAAAGCUCUCUAUCUUGCCUUAGGCAAAUAAAUUUAUGUGGCACCAUAUAUCCGCUAGUCCCUUCAAUUUCUUUCCAUGCUUCCUUGAGGCAGGCAUAAACACAUGGAUGCUUUGGGCAUAAGUUAGGCGACUUCUUCCCAGAGAUGCCUUCUCAGGCUACGGUGGGGUAGGUGUCAUCAUUGCCUUCAACUGAAGUCUGAGUUCAGGUAUUUCAACACUUGGCAAUAGCCCCAAGGCCUUUUUGUGUCUCUCCACAGGGCAAUGGUGACAUCUUGGAAAGUCAAAUUAGUAGUUUUCUGGAGAAGAAAUUAGGAAGAAAGUGG
rnacentral:lncRNA from 10 species